CAUGCCGCGUGCAGGAAGACGGCCUUAUGGGUUGUAAACUGCUUUUUUACGGGAGAAAUAAGGGUUACGAGUAAUCCCAUGAGAGUACCGUAUGAAUAAGGAUCGGCUAACUCCAUGCCAGCGGCCGCGGUAAUACGGAGGAUCCGAGCGUUAUCCGGAAUUAUUGGGUUUAAAGGGUGCGUAGGCGGACAUUUAAGUCAACGGUGAAAUUUUGCACCUCAACUGUAACAUUGCCGUUGAUACUGAAUGGCUAGAAUUUGGUUGCAGUGGGCGGAAUGUGAGUUGUAGCGGUGAAAUGCAUAUGAUAUCACACUGGAACACCAAUUGCGAAGGCAACGCACUAACUCAUUACUGACGCUGANGCACGAAAGCGA
rnacentral:rRNA from 1 species